UUAUUCUUCAUGUGCACCUAAACGCAAUCACAGUCCAAAGAUGUUCUCACCUACAUGUGAAACACACACUGAUUGACAUGCAGCCUUCUAAUCUCUUCUCCCUUACAGGAUGUCGCGAAGCAACCCAGACAGCUGCAGGACGAGCUGCUGAGGUUAAAGAAUAGGAUGUACUACCUGCUUUGGCAAGCAGACACUUUGCCCAACUUUGCUUUGGAGUCUCAAGGGGCCAGUGGUCUAUUCCGGCUAUCUUCAAAAAAGUACCAGACAUAGGAGGCAGGACAGACAUUUUUUAGGGAUGCCUAUCUGGCGACCACCUGUUAUUCAGGUACACUCCCCCUGGUCCUAGGAAGAUGCUGAGCCUUUGAAGGUGGGCGUGGACAUUUAGUCAUCGCCCUGUCCCACCCAGAUCCAUGAGAAGCUGGCAGGCUGAAGACUGAAAUAAAGGAGAAGACAGAAGACCAACAUCUGGGUGCAGAGCAGUGGGUAAGUAUAAGCAGAGAGGUGAGUAUAUGUGAAGGGGAAUCAGACUCCACACAUCUAAAAUAUUAACAAAUGUGUGCUUCUUUUAUGGGCGGGAAACCAGUGAGGUAUGAUGCACUCCUAUUGGUUGGGUGGGGCACCUGUGCAGAGGUUGUGAACCUCGGUACCCUCCCCUCUGCCAGGUGAAAUUAAGCUGAAGAAGGAUCCAUUUGGAUCACAGUAGAUAUGUGGCUGCCAUAAUUUCUUCUACCUGUGCCCAGAUGUUUUCAGUCUGAUUGACCGUCACUGUGCGCCGCACGGGAUAGACUGUUGUUCAGUUCUGGCUCUGGUUCUCUCUCCGUAUAUGCGUGGAUUUACUCCGGGUGCUUCAGUUUCAUCUCACACUCCAAAGACUUGCAGAUUAGGUUAAUUGGAGGUAUGCAUUGUUUAAGACUUUUUUAUUUACUACAUGUUUUUAAUAAUGUUUCUGCUUGUUUUGUUAUUUAUUUGAAAUCCUUAAUAUAUAUAAAACAUCAUAAUAACAUCAUUCCUCCAUCUUACAAAAGCACACCCAGGUGAAAAAGAAAUAUACUUAAGUUUGUUCGUUGAAGACACAUUGCAUUUUCUGCGAAUGAGGACUUGCACAGUAGACACUGGGGUAUUUGCUGCUUUAUCACAGCAUCUGUGAAAGGGAAGAAAAGUAUUUUGUUUAAUGUAAAAGCAAAAUUACACUUUAAUUAACUAAC